UGUGAAAUUUGAUACUUAUAGGACAAUCAUGAUCUGCAUGACAAACUAAGUUCUUCAUGUAGAAUUGUUCAUUGUUUGACUCACAAAUUGACGGCAAGGUUGAAGAAGUGUUUCACAAAUAGAUGCAGUGAGAAGACAAUAUGACAUCCUCUCAGUGUAGUGGGGUAUGUACUCCCUUUCAGGACUUGACAAACAGCGGCAAUUUAGGUAAAUACUACUUCGACCUUGUAAAUCCUGAAUAUUUCAUUCCCUCAUAGGUCAAAAAACAGAUCCAAAAAAUUGAAGAGACAAAGGGAAAGGGAGAGGUAUGCACUAAACAGGGAUGCAAUAUUAAAAAGAAGACAUGAGGCAAGGGAUCGUAAGAAAGCUACAUCGGCUA
rnacentral:lncRNA from 1 species